GUGGGUAACCUGCCUUAUAGUGGGGGGAUAGCCUUUCGAAAGGAAGAUUAAUACCGCAUAAGAUUGUAGUAUCGCAUGAUAUAGCAAUUAAAGGAGCAAUCCGCUAUAAGAUGGACCCGCGUCGCAUUAGCUAGUUGGUGAGGUAAUGGCUCACCAAGGCGACGAUGCGUAGCCGACCUGAGAGGGUGAUCGGCCACAUUGGGACUGAGACACGGCCCAGACUCCUACGGGAGGCAGCAUG
rnacentral:rRNA from 1 species